AAUGAACGCUGGCGGCGCGCCUAAUACAUGCAAGUCGAGCGAGAAGACGUAGCAAUACGUUUGUAAAGCGGCGAACGGGUGAGGAAUACAUGGGUAACCUACCCUAGAGUGGGGAAUAACUAGCCGAAAGGUUAGCUAAUACCGCGUACGCUCCUUGGACUUCGGUUCAGGGAGGAAAGCGAUGCCGAGGGUAUCGCGCUCUUGGAUGGGCUCAUGUCCUAUCAGCUUGUUGGGAGGUAACGGCUCACCAAGGCUUCGACGGGUAGCUGGUCUGAGAGGACGAUCAGCCACACUGGCACUGCGACAC
rnacentral:rRNA from 1 species